GGAGUUCCUAUCAUGUCCCAGAGGAAAAGAAUCCAACUAGUAUCCAUGAGGAUGCAGGUUCAAUCCCUGGCUCAGUGAGUCAGGGAUCCAGCAUUGCUGUGAGUUGCGCUAUAAGUUACAGACGUGGCUCAGAUCUGGUGUUGCUGUGGCUGUGGUGCAGGCUGGCAGCUGCAGCUCUGCUUCAACCUCUAGCCUGGGAACUUCCAUAUGCCGCAGAUGUGAAAAAAAAAAAAAAAAAAAAAAAAAAAAAAAAAAGAAAGAAAGAAAAAGAAAAGAAAAGAAGAAAAUAAGGCAGCUUGAUUGUGGCAUAGCUGAGAUUUGAACCUAGUUGUUUGUAUAGCACUCUCAUGACCCCACUAUGUAUUACGUGAUUUGUAUACAAUGCAGAAACUCUUCAAGAACAUGGGUGGCUUAGAACAGUUCAGGGUUUCACGUGUCACACAAUGAGUUCUAUCUGUGAUGCCAUCAUCUAAUUGUAUGUGUGAGCAGUAGACGGAGCUAUGUUCUUGGUCUGGCUUGUGAAAUACACAGCCUAAUUUUUAAAUCUUUUUUAACCUUUAUGUUGCCUGCUAUAUUCUUGCACCUAGUAGCUGAAACAUCCACAGAUUUGGUUCUUAGCAUAUGUGGAACUGAAAGAAUCUAACACUAUUGGCUUUAAGAAUCUAUAAGUGACCCUCAAAAAACACACUUUGGUUUUUAAGAAAAGCGUUUAUUUUUUCACACCCAAAUUCAUGAGCCUUUACUCUUCUACAUGAGCUUUAAUAAAGAGAUGUCCUCCAGCCUCUUUUACCAGCACUGAUUUUGGUGGAAAUAAACAUUGGAGUCAAUACCAGCAUAGUUCAAAGACCUCAGCAAACAUCGCUGUGACCCAGGCCCCUGCAUUUUAGAGGUACAGCCUGCUUUACAGGUAUGGUUCUCCUUGUAAACGCUCAAAUCCUAUCUUUUUUGUGUGGAAAAAUAAGAUUUCAUGCACAAUCAAGUUUAUCUACCUCAAAUCAAUAAAAGCAUUAAAACAGAUAUAAAAGAAAUACAGUUAACCAAUUUAAAUAUUAUUGAAAGUCUUGUAGAACUACAGAUAUGCUGAAUGUGAAAUUUCCUAGUUGAAAGGUGUGUUGAAAGCGGUNNNNNNNNNNNNNNNNNNNNNNNNNNNCGGUUCAGGCUAGAAUGCUUUCAAAUGAUGCGCAACCACUUAUGAAAACUAUUCAGGUGCUUUUCCUAAUCUGAAAGGGAGUGCUUUUUCAUAGCAUUAGUUUUAUAAUGAGCCUUUUCAGGCAAAUUUCAAAGGGUGCAUGGUUCACAUACUUUAAACUAAAUUCACUCAUAAUUUAGCAUCCGACAAAAGCUAAUGCUUAAUUGUCUCUAAAGAGGCUAUAGAAGGAAAACAUUUUCCUUAUUCACAAACCUAGAGCUAAACAGUGGGGCUUCCUCCCAGUACCACCCCUCCCUAAAAUUUUCACAGAAACAAUGGCUCUGUCAAGAGCUGGCCAUGAGGAGGCUGGGAACAGAGAUGCCCCGGUGACCCAGGAGGCUGUGAGACACACUGGUUUCACACACUCUUAGCUGCCACCCCUGGUCUGAACACCCUCAGAGAUAAAGACUUCAACCUGGAGGCAAGAAGAGGUCAAGAUUUGUAAGCUAUGCUAACGUGGGAUAUCCAGCCAUUUACUAUUGGCUGCUGCCUUGAGAUAAGUCAUUUAAACUUGCUGAUCUCCACCCACCUUCCUCAAAGGCAAAAUGAGGAGGCUGUGCUUGACAGAUGAUCUCAAUUAUCACAGUGGUUAACAGCACCCACAGACCUGCAGGCCAGAGGCUUGGCUUCAUGAUCCUUGUCCUGCUACUUCCUAUGUUGACCCUGGGCAAGGAAAGAAAACUCUCCAUGCCUCAACUGCCUCCUCUGCAAAGUAGGGAUAAUAAUAGUGCAAUUCACAUAGGACUGUAGUGAAUACUAUAGGAGUUCACCGUACAUUAAAAAAUCCAGUUUGUGUAAGGAAGUACUAUAUAUGUCUUAACUGCUAUUAGCGUUGUUAGGACAUCCUUCCCAAAGCUUAUAUUCUGAGUCUCUUGGAAAAUCAAAAAUCUGUUCUAUCACUUUUAUUAAUUUAUUUUGCUCUCUUUCUUACAUGUCUUUCAAUCAGUAGCAUCCCUUGGUAAAGCCUUUGGAUGCUCUAUGUUUCUUUUCAUACCAGAACUUUUGUCAAAUUUAAGGCAUAAAUUCCCUUUGAGGUGUGGUGGGUUGAGAGAAGAAAUCCUUUUAAACAACUGCAUCAAGGAAAAUGGCAGCUCUCAUGGAGGAUGGAAUGUUAAAAUGUUGAGAAAGACCUUUCAGAAAAAGUAAAACUUUUUUUUUUUUUUCUUUUUAGGGCCACAUCUGCAGCAAAUGGAAGUUCCAGGCUAGGGGUUGAAUCAGAGCUGCAGCUGCUGGCCUACACCACAGCCACAGCAACACCAGAUCUAAGCCAUGUCUGCAACCUACACCAUAGCUCACAGCAAUGCCAGAUCCUUAACCCACUGAGCAGGGACAGGAACUGAGCUCAUAUCCUCAUGGGUACUAAGCGGUUUCUCAACCUGCUGAGCCACAACAAGAACAUCUAGAAAUGAAACUUUUGAACCUAUUCAAUCCUGAGAUAACUGUAGAAAUAAGCAAACAAACAAACAAAAAAGUACAAGACAGGGAAAAAAUUCUCACUCAUGUAAACCUUGUAAAAUCUCAAGUAAUUUUCAUAAUUGUGACACUUGGAACAAUUUGAUAAUAUCUUAUAUUGAUUCUCAGGUUCUGAGACAAUAAUCAUUACAUUAUUACCUGCAGCCUAAGCAGUGAAGCGUAACCUCCUAAUUAGGAUAAAAAACAGAGCCAGGAGCAGCCCCAGCAAGUCACAACAAGUCAAUAUUUUUAAUAAGGAUUAAUUAAAAAAAAACUCUACAAGGUUGUAUUAGAGGCAGUUCUGGCAUGUCUAUUUAUUAACAGUUGGCAUUACAUCUCAUAAAGGGCUCAUUAUGUAAAGCAUCAAUCUAAGUGUGAUGUUUUCCCCUUUCCUAAAUACUAUUGAUUUUUUUUUUUUUUUUAGCAUAGUUUGGGUACUGAGAAGAUGGAAAACUGGGUCUUGCAAUCACAUUGUCCAUCAUGUGGCAGGACGCCCAAUAGCAAUGGCAAAGAGGACGCACAUCCUUUUUUUCUAAAUUUUGUAGCCAGCCUGACUUCUCAGGCUGGCAGAGGAAAUGUGCUUAUCCGCCCUGUCAGCCAAAGGGAUCCAGAUUUGUAACUCGCAAAUCAACUCCCAGGCAGAGGAGUGCAGGCUCAAGCCGGCAUUCUCUCCAAGGAGGACUGAGAUUCUUCUUAUCUGCAGUAAUUCUACAUGUGCUUGUUCCCCACCCCCCAUUAUUUCCAUUAUAUAUGUAUUUAUACAUGGAAAUAAACAACAAUGCCAUUUGGAAACUGGCUCCCCUGCCCUUGAGAAGGCUGCCGCACUGCACUAGGAAUCUGCAGGAAGACAGUAUGGCCACAGGUGCCUGCAGCUCAUGCAUAUGCAGCUCUGACAUUUGAAACUCUUCAGCCGAUUUCACAACCCCUUUCUUCAUUGACACCGAUUCAUUCCCCAUCAGGAAGGUUUUCAAGUAAACAGCACUGGUCAGAAGCUGCUGCACAUACUUCCGGAAGUAAUCUCCAUCUGUGCUUCUUAAAAGAUUGCAGACUGAUCUCCUCAAUCAUAUUUUAAAUACAGAGAAACUGCAUUUUUUUAAUUAAAAAAAAAAAAAGAAAAGAAAAAG
rnacentral:lncRNA from 1 species